CUACGUGCCAGCAGCCGCGGUAAUACGUAGGUGGCAAGCGUUGUCCGGAAUUGUUGGGCGUAAAGCGCGCGCAGGCGGAUCAGUCAGUCUGUCUUAAAAGUUCGGGGCUUAACCCCGUGAUGGGAUGGAAACUGCUGAUCUAGAGUAUCGGAGAGGAAAGUGGAAUUCCUAGUGUAGCGGUGAAAUGCGUAGAUAUUAGGAAGAACACCAGUGGCGAAGGCGACUUUCUGGACGAAAACUGACGCUGAGGCGCGAAAGCCAGGGGAGCGAACGGGAUUAGAUACCCCGGUAGUCCUGGCCGUAAACGAUGGGUACUAGGUGUAGGAGGUAUCGACCCCUUCUGUGCCGGAGUUAACGCAAUAAGUACCCCGCCUGGGGAGUACGACCGCAAGGUUGAAACUCAAAGGAAUUGACGGGGGCCCGCACAAGCGGUGGAGUAUGUGGUUUAAUUCGACGCAACGCGAAGAACCUUACCAGGUCUUGACAUUGAUGGACAGAACUAGAGAUAG
rnacentral:rRNA from 1 species